ACUCAAAAGGGGAACCCAUCCUCAUCUGGGUUUGUCUGUGAUCUUUCCAUCAGCUCUAUUGUGUGUGCGUGUGUGUGUGUGUGUGCACGUGCGUGUGUGUGUCUGCGUGUGUGUGUGUGUGUGUGUGUGUGUGUGUUUAAACAUCCUGUCACGGCUUUUACAACAUUACAGUGUGAGAGACACGAUGAGAAGAGGACAGGAAAAAGGGUUACUGUUCUUCUGCCUCAUCUACAUCAAAGGUUGUCUAGCCGGUGAUGACAUCAUCACGUCUGGCCCAGUACGAGCUAAACUGGGUCAGUCUGUAUCCCUGUCCUGUAGAAUAAAAGAUGAAACGCAUAUGAGUGUCUCGGUGUGGAGAUUCUGCAACGACUCGACCACCAUCGCUGUGUUUAAAGCCGGAGGCAGAAUAGCACUCACAUUGAAGAGCAGUACACCAGCCGUGUCUCCAUCACACAGUACCACACCCUCACCAUCCUUCAGGUGCAGGACAGAGAUUACGGGGAUUACUGCUGCACAGUGGCCGCCUUCCCCCAAGGAAGUCUGGAGGGCAGGAUCCAGCUCCUGAAACAAAUCGACAACGAGGAAGUCAGUCAUCCACCUGCAGGUUUGCCAGCGAUAGUGAUCGUGUACAUCACCUGUGGAGUUGUUGGGUUUGUUGUUCUGGUCGGAUUCAUCUCCGCACUGGUUUUCAGUAAGAGGAGAAGAAAAAUACGAAACCCGGUGCAUGUGACGGUGACCAACUCCAUCUCACACAAACAACCAUCACUCCUGCAGAAAGACCUGUACACAACGUCACACACAACGUCACACACAACGUCACACACCUCAUCACACGCUUCCAGGGGUGAUGAAGAUGAUGUUGAUAUGUACCUGACUGUGAGAACCUCUGUAUGAAACCUCUCUGUUCUUCAAACACACAUUAUCUCUCCUCUUCUCUCUCUCAGUUACUCACGUCUUUUCAGUGUAAAUAAUUUGUUUGUGUUUGUGUGUAAACAAUUGUUGUUUUUUAUUAAAGAACUUUACAGUAAA